GGUACUUUCUGUAUCUAGGAGUACAAAUGGCCAAAGUACUGCCCUGGAGUACUACUGGAAGACCUUGGAGAAGAUCUAGCCAAAGAAUUUAUCAUUUCAACCCGAGGAAAAUAGAAUUGACAAAUCAACAAAAUCCCUGAAAUUUAAGGGCCAUCACUCCCUGCCUGCCUAAUCUACUGUUGCUAACAAGAAUGACAGUAACAAACCAGAGAGGAACAGCCUUCCCUGGCCCUUUGCUUGCAUUCUGCCAGUUGUCUGUAUUUCUGAAGACCCAACUUUUGGUAAGAGGGAAACUGUGUUCACAGAGCAGCAUUGUGAUUCACAACUUUUAACAAUGAAGCAGCACAGGAAGACCAGCUAAAAUUCUAACAUUCUCCUGUCUGGACCCUAAAAUGUCUCUCACUCCUCCCGUGGCCACCUCCAUCCUGCUGCACAGGCAAGUGUUGAGGUUGAUUUGCCCACUGAGAGACCCUUUAGGCCAAAGGUUGUGCAACUCACCUGUUCAUUUGGGUGUUAGAAAGCUCUUGUGCCAUUCAAUAUACUUAUUUUUUUUCUUCCUGAACCUGUUUCCUCUGAGCCAACACAGUGGCUCAGGACCCUUCCAGAAGAACACUGGGAAGGCUGUGGAGAGGACCGUGCUCACCUCAGAUUCCUGAAAAGCAGACACUGAAUGUCCUGAUGUCAGCUCUAAGCUUCUCUCCCUGCUCAGCUGAGAGGAAAAAUGAAUUUUGCCAAUAAAGCUGUUCAGAGAGCUGCAUGGUCAACUCAUGUCCCUUCUGUCACCUUGCUGAAUGCCAUGUCACACUGCCAAUGCUUGGAAGCACUCACUGCUGGCUUCUGCAAGACUGGAAGGAAAGGAAGACCUGGACACAUUGACUACAUCUCAACUAUUAAACAAAAUUAGUCAGAUAAUUUUCCUGGAGGCCAACUGGCAUGAAAUAGCUUGAAUCCACCUAGCUAUCUUGCCCUCAAAUCACAGUGGCCACAUCCAAAGUAUCUAUUGGAGAUGGUGCCAGACCUGGGUCAAUACCCAAGCUAUGCUUUGGCGUUGUCUGGAAGAGCAUUAGCAGGCUUGCACCAAAGGCAUGCCAGGGACCAGUUUGGUGGUAUGGAUGGUUUCAGGCCCAUGCCUUGCUGGUCUUGUUUAGUUUAUUUAAUGUCAGAGGGAAACCUCAGUAAUUCUGCCAGGAGUCAACAGAAAACCCCCUUCUGGCCUCAGCAACCAGGAGCUGCUGUGAAGCAUAAUCAUUAGUUGUUCAUCUCCUUCACAUUUGGAUUCUUUUUCUCAUUUUAUUUUUUACCAAAUGAGCCCUGAAAAUAUUUGAAAUCUCAUCGAGUAAUAAAAUUGGGUUGCUGUCUGCACAAAACUUGUUGGUUUUGAACUACCAAGAGAUUUUUCACACAAGCUGAGCUUCUGGAAAAGCCAGCUUCCGCUCUCCUCCCUGAUGAAGGGUCUCCUCUGGCUUUGAGCAAGUUGCUAAGAGCUUGUGUGACCAUUGCCCUGUUUGGAUAUAGGGAUAAAAAGCAAUGAGGUGCUGAGAUACAAACACACCAUUUACUUGGGAUCACAUAAGCAUGCUCAACUGAUGGGAACAUAAAACUCCCUUUGAUUUCUGUGGCAGCUUAUUUCACGUGUCUGGGAAGGCAAUUUAUUUUAAACACUGCAAAAAGGACAUUGAGUAUGUUGUUAUAUCAGGAUCUUUUCAAAGUCAGAGCUCUGGGGCUGGGUUUGGAGAAGCCUGAAAUGUCCUUCAGACAGUGGGAGGUGGUGGAGAGCUCGUGCUCUGUUUCGAGUGCUACCUCUGUGCAUUAUCCCAUGGAACACUGUACUGUGUACACUUCUGUGUUAUACUUCUGCCUGCAGCAAUAUAAGUCAGAAUCAGGCAAUUCAUGCCUGAAUCUUUUUCCCUGUUCUGAAGAUAAAGGGCAGUGAAGGCCGAGUAGUUUUAAAGAGCUCAUCGUACAAAAUUAUUGUAUUAGGCCAUGCUGUAUUACUGAGAUUACAGAAAAUUACCUACGUGUAUUGAAUUAAACCAUGAUUUUCCAAUGAUCUCAGCAGCAGCAGCAGAAUUGGGACAAUUUAAUCACUGCAUUAUCAGUUUGGUAGAUAACUACUAUCCUGAAUUGCGGCUCAAAAUGAAAAAAUGGUAUUGUUUUAUCCAGAAACUAGCCCUUAUUUAACUUCCAGCACUAGCCCUUACUUUGCUUAGAUCUCAGGCACAUAUUUGAAUUUCUGAAGCUGACAGGUACUGAUUUCAACAUUUAGAGCAAUGCAUGUUUUGCCUCAGGUUUGCUACAGGGUGAGUGUGCUCUUAAUUAAUGUGGUCAUUUGAUGUGUAGUACCUUGCUGAGCUAUUAGAACUUGACUGUGUGCUUUUACCCAGUGUUUCUUUUUUGGUUAAAAAGUCUGUUUCAUAAUUUACCUAUUCAUGGAUCAGUCUCAUAAAGGAGGUUGUUGUGUUGUCAUACCUUGCCAAGGCUGUACAAAUCUUAUUUAAUGAAAAUGUUAUGAAGCAAAGAAUCAAGUUGUUGUCCAGAAUAUUCAGAAUACUCAAUAUUCAGAAAUUGGUAUGUUUUUCUCUGAGCUGGAUUUUGAACAGCAGGAAGCAUGGUAAAACAGAGGAGGAACAUUUAACCUUAUCUAAUUUUGCCUGCCUUUUCCUUCCCUUUUCUGUCUUGCCCCUCAAUCUUCAAGCACUCUCACAUGGAUGCUUGCAUAUGGCAGUGGCUCUACUCAGACCUACUGAGACCAGUGCAUCAGUUAAGGAUUGUAAGAUCAUAAUGUGUUUAUUUUUGCAGUCUGAUCUUCUAAGAAACUGAGGAGGUCUUGCAUCUCCCUCCUACUGAUAACAGUGGUGUUGAAAGAGCUCAGUGCAUUCCAGGGCAAAGCCUUGGAGGCUGUGGGUUAGAGAGCUGCUAACUCUCCUUUGGAAGUACAUGCAGAUUCCUUUGGCCUUCACUGGGGGAAAGCCUGGCUCCCCACUAAAGAAAAAGAAAAGAAAACAAUGAAAAUCUAAGAUACAAACCCCCAACACAAUAGUUGUGGUGGUCCAAAUAAAACAUAAAAUCCCCAGUCUCAGCCCAGGCACUCAGUCUAGGGAGGCUUUGGAAUUAGGGGCUCGAAGCUUGACCCAGGGAUGAGUCCAUGGUCUCUGUGUGGGAGAAGGGUACAGGCUCUGGCUGUGCUCAAGUGGGCUUUGGUGUGCAGGGACGUAGCCCAGUGGCCUGGGCUGGUAGUCCCAGCCUGCUGGCUCAGUGCUCAUUCACCCUGCACAGCUCUGAGCUGUGCUCUGCACCAUCACCCCAGGCUUCAUCUCAGGCUCUUUCUAACUCUCUUUGGCUGUUUUAAAGCUGGAUCCUUUCAGCUUAUAUUCUCUCUCAAACAAUUCCCUCUCCUCACCCCGGCCCCUUCUCUACUUCCACAACUGAACUCACUUUUCCAAACUGCCCAUUCCACCCUCUAUCCACUCCAUAUGUUUAUAUUUUCCUAUUGCUGAGGCAUGGCAUGCUGACCUGCCUGGACAGAGCUCCUUUAUCACAGAGAUAAACAUGAUGUCCCCCUCACAUAGAGUUUCUAUCAUGUAUGACCUUUCAUCUUGAACUGCCAUGACCUUUUUUUUAUUAAUGCUGUACUGUGCUGCUUGCAGAAGCCAGGAAAGAAAAUCUUUUGUUUCUAGAUAGAAUACUGCUAAAGGACAUGAUACGGUCUUGUUUUUAAUCCAGCUAAUUAAAAUCUGCAUGUGCAGUGUAACUGAGAAUGCAGCCUUCGCCCACCACUUUCCCACAGGCAGGGAAUAAAGGCCUUUAGUGCAGCAGCAGCUAGCCACCCUUGGAUAACAGAGAACAGAGACCACAAUUCAUCCCAGCUUUCCUUAUCAUAUUCACAGAGGGCUUUCCCCUCCCUCCCUCUUUCCCUCCCCCUCUCUCUCCAUGGAAUCACUUACUGUAGCUAUGUGCCUCUAUAUAUCACUGCAGAAUGUAAUCAAGUUAAAAAUAUGUUAGCUUGCAUUUAUCUAUGCUCCAGUGAGCUUCAAAUAUAAUUCAUUUCUAGUAAAAAAAAAAAAAAAAAAAAAAGAAAGAAGGGGGGGUUGGAAGGGGGAGAAAGAGAAAGAAAAAGAAAGAGAAAGAAAAAGUGACUAUUUCUAAUCAAGUGUCAACCCUAUUUAUUUUAAAACAGUUCUGCCAAGAACUAAGUGAAUAUCACUGUUUAGCAGUUCACACUUUUGUAUGUUCAUUAUGUUGACUUUUUUGGAUUUACUGGACGGUUGUGGUUAUUACUAAAGCUGCCUUUUGUGUGUGUCAGGGAGAGGGUGCCAUGGGAUUUUUUCUUAUGAAACAUUUUCUUGGUUAGUCUUUCUCUUGGUGGUUUUUGUUGGGUAACUGAACUGGGGAGGGAGGAGGAAAAGGAGGGCAGCCUGGUGGGAAUGAGCAGUGAGAGCAGAAUGGGAAGCAUUAAAAUUGAGCCCCCACCUGUUUUCUCUUUCUUCAAGUCAUGUUUUAUAUGAUGAUGAUGAGGUCAUCAGGAUGCAUAAAAAUGUGCCAGGAGAUUCAAAACUUGGAAGGAGAUUGUACAACAUGAGUAGAAAAUACAUUUGAGUGCAUGUGCAGAAUCCCUUCCCCCAGAGAAGCGCACAAACAGGCUUUCUGUGGUCAUUCCCUGGUAACCCGCACAAAAGAGCUGCUCAAACAGCUGUGCCUUUGGCUGAGCACCAUCCUUGGGGCUGCUGUGGAAAAUGCUGAUUUUGGGGCAUUAACUUCCCCAACAAAAAUUCAGAGAAAUAUACUUACAGUUAUUAAUGGAAGGGGUUGUGAAUCCUGAAUAAAUAUGCACCGUGUUGGAAAAUUAUUUCCUUUAUUUAUCAAAACAAAAGAUUCAUAUGUGCGUUGUACUCAGGGAAUGAUUAAAAGUAUAUGAAAAAACAAUGUUUUGAAUUCCAAUACAGCUUAUUAGGUGACAUCAGUCUAACUAAAGUACCUGACAUAUUUUAAAAAUCUCUAAAUAUUUUGAUAACAGAGAACAGUACGAUUAAAAGAUGUCAGAAGUACCAUGCUGCCUAUAUAUUAAAAUAUGCCAUGUUGAUCAAGCACAAGAGUGCUUUUCAUAAAAAUUUUAUUAUCUUAUGCUGAAAAUUUGGUUUUCUUAUGCUGAACUUUAACAGGAAUAGAGAUCUGCACACUUUUCUGCUUUUACUACCUAUGGAGGGACAAUAUUAAAUAAGAAAUAGCUAUUACUAUACUUGUAUAAUUCUGAUAUAUUAUAUUUAUAUACCAUGGCAUAAGUUUUUAUGUAUUUUGGAAUUAAUGUCAAAUCAGUAAAACAGUGGUAGCCAAGAAGACAUUUAUAUAUAUUUUGCCAAGUUAAGGUUUUCUGUUUCUCAUCUUUUGAGGAAUAUAUUCAAUAAUUGCUUUUUAAUAGUGACACCUACUUUGACACACUGAAAAGGUUGUUAAUGUCAAGUCACAUAUUUGAUAUAAAAUUACUGUUUGCAUAUUGCAUAAGCAGUAUAAGAUUUAUGAAGCUUCAUGUAUUCUAUUUAAGUGAGCUAAUCCUAAUAAAUAUGGCAUUUUUUAUUGUUGCUUAGCAGUCUUCCUUAGACAUAAAAUUAAUUUGUAUUUUGGGGAACAAUUACAAUUUUUAUGGGCAGAGCCAAUGUUUAAUUAUGUCUUGUUAUUCUGUGUAACUAAUAACAAAUUAGGGUGGUGAUUAUUAUUUUUGUCACUAAUAGCUGUUGUUGUAGGGCACUUUUUAAGGAGAGGGCACAUAACAAGAACUAAAAAUCAACCCAUUGCUAUGUUAGUCACACAUGGCAAGCAGCAUGGCAUAAAUUCCCUCUGGAAGUUACUGAAGGAUGCUGAACAUCAGGGCAUGCUAAAGGUCAGGCUUAAUAAUGGGGCAUAAAUCUCAGAUCCCCACAGUGAACAUCUAAUGUAAUGAAAAUCAGGAUGUCUUUACUGACUGCCUAAACCGCUUUAUGCGCUCACAGCUACGUUCACAAAGUUUAGCUUGUGAUAGGACCCAGAAGUGUGUAGGAGGUUCUUGUCAAUACACUUAAUGAAAAGAGGAUCAAAAUAACAUUCUGUAAUCUCACAUGUGGGACCUGAACCUGCACUUCUGAUGUUCUGAUUCAUCAGUGUCAUCAGCAACUGUUUACAGGGAUUCCUUGUUGGUGAUUCCAUGGAAAAUAAGACUGUGACAGGAGGCCAUACAUGAAAUUCUGUACCAAGUUUUUGAGAGUUUUCAAUUUCUUUUUCAAAACUUUAUUUCAAAAUAAAACUUUAUUUUAUUUCAAAGUUUUCAAAUUUUCACUGUUUAUACAGUAGGUAACUUUUUCUGCCACCUUUUUAUUAACCUUGAGCAGAACAGAUAUAUACUGAUAUUACUGAGAGGAUAUUCUACACUAAGUGAAAGUUCAGGGUACUGAAGAGGAUGACAUGUAACAUGGCAGUUAUUUAAAAUAUUCACCUAUGGUUGCAGAAAGAUCCCUUUAAAAAUGACCCUUCUUCUUUCCUGUACUAUCCCGAUAUUUAACUAAGUACUAAAAUCAGUGUCAAAAGGAGUGAAAGGAAUAAUUGUGAUUAAAUUCCUUUUCACACUGCAAAUUCCUCUCGCAAUCCAAUUCUCAGAUUUCAUUGCAUCCAUCCCUUCUUAAGAAAAGCUGGCUGGCCCAAUUGUGCAAGAAUGUUUUAUAAGGCUAUGAAACCAAAGGCUGGUUAAUCAGGCCCUUUCUGCAAAUGAUGAAGACCAAGGCAGAAAUGCUGCAACCAAACUGAUGAUUCAGGGGAACAGUAGGAGGCAGCUGCUGAACUGCAAACAGAAUGUGAGUCACCUUCUCCCUCACUCUUGAAUGAAAACAACCCAAACCAAAACAAUAAUAUGAUUAGAAAUUACUUUCUCUACCCUCAGAUUGAGGGAAGAGAGUGGCAGCCCAUCUGUCCUUGCUUAAAUAACUAGAUAAGUUUAUUACUCGUGGCGGAUGGAAUGGUGUAGCCACAUAGCUCUGGAAAUGGAAGAGUAAUGCUGACCAAAUAAUCAUGCCAAAGUCAGGUAAAGAAUAACUCUGUGUGAAUAAAAACCAACUUGGAACCUGGAAUUUAGCCUUCUGUAACAGCGUAGUCACAGCAAUAAUCCUAAUAAGUAAUGGGAACAUAGGGACAGGACUUGUUAGUUAUAAAUAAUUAAUCACCAGCAAUGGGAAGUCUGUGGUAGCAGCAGGAGCCCAAGGCUGGUGCCCAGCAGGUAGCUGGCAAAUGAAAGGUGAUGGGCACACACUAUGUCUCUUGCCCUUGCCAGCCUCGAGUGAGAGGUAUCAACUACUGAAACAGAGCAGAGGAACCACUUGCUGAAGGCAUUGUAAAGACUUCUUUCUGCUCAUUUAUCCCUUGUUUGUCAGUAAGGUCCCAGGUGGUUUUAUGGAACAUGAUUAUGUGCAGAAGGAGCAAGGUGAGCUUCCACUCAGUUCAGCAUUAAAUUGAAAAUGGGUCUUUGCAAACUCUUCUUCUCUGCCUGUGGUAAGAAGCCUUGAACUCCUUUAAGGAAACAACAACUGAAAUCCGUUUUUCCAAAUUCAAACCCGAUGCUGUUCCCAUUCAUACUGGUUGGAUCAGUUUGCCUAUGUAUUCCAACAUCAAGUUUUUAUCUUUCCCUGCAGAAAAUAAAAUCCUGAACUGUACCUUCUACCCAAAAUCAGGAAAACAAUUUUGGAUAGGUAGAGUAUCCAAAGUUCAGUUUUCUGAAAUUAUGCCCACAAGCAACUAGCCAGAGUUUGGCUCUCUCAAUUUGUUCACUUCCUAUGAGGAUGGCAGUAUUAUGACAUUUAAUAUGAACACAAUAUUCCAAAGAAAAACAAAAUAAUAUGUUUUGCACAUUUUCUGGUACCAAGAGAUUACCAUUUUCUGCUGCUGUUAUUUAGAAAUAUUGACAUACAUAUAUGUAGCCUUUCUAAUUUUCUCAAAAGAAAUGGGAACAAUCUUAUAUCUGAGAAACCUAGCUAAACAUUUACUAUUGUGGUUCAUCUCAGUUUUACCUUUUUGUAUAUUAAACAUGGAAUAAUUUCUCUCUGACAGACAAGUACUAUGCAUAUGCACAGCCCAACACAUCUACCUUGCUCCCUGUCAUGGCAGGAGGAUGGGGAUAAUUCUUCUGUUUUCACUAGAUCAGGUAGGACAUUGGUAGCAGCAGACAUUUUACUACCACUGCUGCAGUUUUUGGGUUCCCAAUGGCUGAAAUGUGCUGGACACAUCCUUGACAGCUUUAACCCAUUGAAAAAAAAUGGAACAUCUCUAAAAGUUUCAUUUCAAAAUUUAGCCAGCAUCAAAUCUGGCAUAAUCUGCUUUCAGAAGAGAACAUGUGAGUUCUUAGAAGAAAAUACUCCUGAACGCUCAGCAGCUGUUGAAGUUUACUCCUGACCACAUCUCUGGGAAGCACACUGAAACACCCCACAGGAACAAGGGAUGCAUAAAGCCUACAAGCUCGUUACCAGGUGGAAAAGUCAUUCUGUAACAACUAAGAGAUGAAAUGAAAGAAAAGAGACCCAGUUCAACACACAUGAACUUUCUAAAUCAAGGUAACUGAAAGGUCAAGAGAAUAAUCUGAGUGAUCAGCAAGGUGGUGAGGCACACACCAAAAGUCAACUUCAGGUGUGCUUCCAAUCAGCUGCUUGUUUUGAGAGAACAUAAUUUCAACCUAAUUUUUUGCACCUUCAGACUGGUUAUCUGGAUUAGCCUGAUACUUAACAUGUGCCCUGAGAAUUUGCUCUCUUUUUUCUGAGGCUGUUGAUGCCUGUGCUUGGGGUCCCGCAGGCUUUACUUAUACAUUACAACAUUGUAUUUCCCUUUUCCUUGGCUUUGCUUGCAGAAAUCUAUCAACAAGCCUGUAAAUUUUUUGUUUCUUUUUCAUUGUCUACCAUUUUUUCUUUUGUAAAAUGAUGCCGCUCAUGUCUUGAAGGUCAUUAAAUAUCCUUUAUGUAAACCUGCAAAUGCUCAUCGAGAUGUUUAAUAUCUUUCUCUGAGUUGCUUUAAUUUCUAGCUUUAGUGUUUUCCUCAUCUUUUGUCUCAAAUGCUUUCUUUUAGCUUCCAAGAUUUCUACAUUCUGUGUUCUCUUUUAUAUUUCAAAGUGCUUGGAACAUUCUGACACAUUUAUAAAAGUUCUUGCAUAGAUAUGCUUUUUCAGAGACUCAGCUGCUCACAUCAUGUUUUUUCUAAGAGUUUCUUUAUUUUGGUGGCUACUACCCUGGUAGAUGGAAUUCUUGACUCUUCCAUUUGAAUCUGGUAAGUAAUCUAAAAAGAGCUAGGUGGCCUUGGUGUAAUUUGUGAGGCUGGGAUUUGAUUUCUUUAUUUACAAACAACCAAGAACUUCAUUGGUUUCUAUAGUGAAGAUGGAAAUAUUGCCCUUGAAGAUAAACUGAGGUUCAGGAGGGACAAUUGCUUUGGAAGCAGUGAAUUUAGGAAGCAAAUGUAAACUUUCUUAGCGCAAUGAAACAUAAUGCGUUCCUUUGAAGUAUGUUUCAAAAAAUAAGGAGUUUUAAUUAAUUAUGCUUUGAAUUUAGUACAUGAGUUGACUUUUCAUCUCUGACUUUGACUUGAUUAGCUGUCAAAAUACUAUUAUUAUAAUAAUAUUUUAAAUUUUUUUUUAGAAAUUCUUUAUUUGCUGCCUUGGAGGUCAUAACAUAAAUUCAGGCAGUUAUAAAACCCUUCCUUCUAUUUCUAAGCAUUUGUUCUUGGAAUAAAUCCCACUGAAGUCCCUGGGAGUAAGGGACAAUCUGGCCCAUGAUAUGGGAGAGUUACUUUUACAAUAGCUGUGUCUUGUCAGGUACCCUGCUUUGUGUCUGUUGGGCUCACUAUGGAAAUAAAUUAUCCUUUGUCAAUGUCUUGUCGGUAGAUUUAAAUAAGUCUUAGAAGAUUAGUACGACACAGUUUUCUCUGUAGAAACUCUGCUAAUUUGACUCUGUGGCAUCCUGAAC